ensembl:lncRNA
AUGCGUGGAAAGAAAACCCGCGAUGACCGAAGGCUUCUCCAUGAUCUCCAUCAGUUCUCGACAGAAUAUUUAUCACGUGCAUCCAGUCCUUCAUGCUGUCUUUGCUGUAAACUGGUUGAAAGGGACAGAAGUGAGAGACUUAUUUACCCUCAUUUGAUAAAACUGUUUUGAAAAAAUAAUUUUACAUUUAGAAAUUUCAAGAAUUUCUGUUUCAGGUUUUUUAUUAGUUUAAAAACUUUUCCAAAUUCCAUUGGCCAAGGAGUUUUCUUGUUUGGGGGGUGGGGUCAGGGGCUUAGUUAACAGGUUUUAUUUGUAACUGCAGUCUGCUAGUCAUGUUUUGAUACUGAGAUUAAUAAGCAGUCAUAUCUAUGCAUAAAACUGCUGAUGGAGUUUAAUAUGUGUUUAAUAUGUCAUUAAACAUGGAUGUUUAUCAUAGCUUAAGCUGUUUUAAAUGGUCUUAAAGUGAUCUUAAGCUUCAAAGGUUGUUAUUUUUUCCUAAUAAAACACUCUUAACUACACAUUUUUGGGGUGGGGUCAGGCUUAGUUAACAGGUUUUAUUUGUAACUGCAGUCUGUUAGUCAUGUUUUGAUACUGAGAUUAAGAAGCUGUCAUGUCUAUGCAUAGAACUGCUAAUGUUGGAGUUGUAAUGUGUUUAAUAUGCCAUUGAACAUGGAUGUUUACUAUUGCUUAAGCUGUUUAAACUAUUUUAAAGUGAUCUUAAGCAUCAUAGGUUUCUGUGUGCUGGCUAUUUCUUGCAUUAUUUGUUCCUAAUAAAAGACUCUUAACUACACAUUGUCAUGGUAUUAUUUUGUGACAUUAUAACUGUAAAAUUAAAUUACAUUUAAAUUAAUUACCAGCACUGCAUAAAACAAGUAAAAUGUAUUUAAAAGAACAACUAAUUUUACUUAAUUAUAUCAGAUUUAUAAGUGAAAUUUACUCAAUAAAAUUUAACAGGUCAAGUUACAUGUACUUAUUCAUUUUUUUUAUUUUUACUUAAUUUAGUUAAGUAGAUUUACUUAAUUUGAAAAUGUGUGAAAUUUACUUGAAAAAUGCUUGUGCAAAAACUUGCCAAAUAAAAAUUAAGUAAAUUUACUGAUUGUUUUUUUCAGUGAAGUAAAGUCAUAACAUAAUGAUACCUUUGCAAAUAAUUAGCUAAUGAUUAAUUAAAGUAGACAACUGAAAGUUGAAGAACAUAGCUUUGACCACUGUGGUUAUUAUUAACACAUGAAUUUAAAUCAUCAGUUAAUAUAAUAUGUUAUUAGGGAACUAAUAGAUUAUGGCAAAUAUAACUAAUAACAAUUUAUUUAUUACUUAAUUUGUGUAUCAUAUAGAAUGUUCAUUUAGUUGCUAAUGUAGUAAUCAUUAGUAAAUGGUUUAGUUCUUUGUGAGUUAUACAUUAACUCGUGAUUAUCUAUGCAUUAGUUAAGCAUUAAUUAAUGCGUAUUUGUGCACCCGCAUUGUAAAGUGUUACCAGUGUGGAUAAUUACUGUACUUGAGUAUUUUUUCGGACGUGGUUCUGCCUACUACAAUCUAAAUAUAAAGGAGCUUUACGAUGCCAUAUAAUAACCUCUUUGUCUAAAUGGUUCCAUAAAGAACCUUUAACAUCUGAAGAAACAUUCUGUUUCACAAAAUGUUCUUUGUUGCAAGAGAAGGUUCUUCAGAAUAAAAAAAGAACCUUUGACUGAAUGGUUCUUUGCGAAAACAAAAAUGGUUCUUCUAUAGCAGGGGUUGGCAACCUUUUCGGCAUGACGUGUCAUUUUUAAUCUUUCUGGUAAACCACUGUGCCAAGAACCCCCCCCCCCACACACACACAUACACACAAACACACACACCCACACACACCUCAACCCACCCUUAUUUAAUGCAUUAUUAUACAGAAUGCAUUAACUCUUUGUAUAGUACAUACACAUUUUGAAAUGAUACGAUAAAACAAAACAAAACUAAACUAAAAUAAACAAAACAAUAGGCCUAUUUGAUUUUCAUGCAAAUAGUUUUUGGAGAUUUUUUCAUAAAUUGUUUCUUAAACUUUUCAAAAGUUUCUUGAAUAAAAGAUAUACAGUGUGACCGUACUGAACAUCACUGUAUGUGUGUAUGUGAGAAGGCCAAUGCAUUAAAACCGUUCCGUUUAAUCACCGUUCCUUGUGCGCGCAUACACACACACCACUGGCACACAGAGAUCUGAGAUCAUGCUGUGCAAAAAGUAACAUUCAAAAGCUCAUAAACUUGUUGUCAGCGCUGCCACGUGACUUUUAUUAAUCAAUACUGAAUCGCUACAUUGUAUUUCUCAGCAAGGAGGGGGUAAUUUGUAACUAAACUCAGCUUUAUUGUUUGUAGAGGGAGACAGACGCAGACAAUUUACAUCUCUCUCUCUCUCUCUCUCUCUCUCUCUCUCUCUCUCUCUCUGUCUCAAAAUAAAGUGGCCAUAUUUAAAAAAAAAAAAAAAGUAUUGGUAAGUUAAUACCUCAAAAUGUACGUCACUAUGCAGUUUUCCCUAAUGCUCGCGUGCCAGCGAUUAUCCCUCUACGUGCCACUGUUGGCACACGUAGGUUGACGACCCCUGUUCUAUAGCAUCACUGUGAAGAACCUUUUGAAGCACUUUUUUGUUUUUUAAGAGGGUAGGGCACUGAAAGUACAUUUUUUUUGUGUGUGUGUGUGUUUUGCCUUUACUCACUCAAACUUUUUAACAAGGCUACUUUACGAAUGCAAGUUCAAGUAGUUGUGAUUCACAGGUGUUUUAUAUGUAAGAUGAGGAAUGCAGCACAUGACAGGAAGUAAGUGCGCAAGACUUUCCCAGGUCUUAAAAACGCCAAAGCGUAUUGCCCUUACCUCACACUAAAUCCAAACUAUUUGGGCUCCGGAGUGCUAUUUGAGGCUUAGUACAUCCCAUCAUGCAUCAUGUUCUGGAAAUAAACCGUGAGCUGUGAUCUCACGAGAGGUCACAAAAACCUUUCCAGUGUAAGUUAAAUAUUAAUAUAAAAAUUAGAUAUUACAUAUAAUUUGGUAGAAAAACUAAAUUUUUAUUGGUGCAAAGAUGAGUAAUGGUGAUAUUUAUAUUGUAAAACAUUUGCAACUGCUUUUUAUUUCUUAGCCAGAAGCACCACAAAUUAAAUUGUGUCAUGUUAGGGACUACUGAACAGACAUUUAGAAGUUGAUUUUAAAAUGCAAAGUAUUAAAAAAAUAAAUAAAAAUAAAAUAAAGCUACAGUAUGUAAAUGCUUACAUUUUUACAACAAUAAGUGCAUCCCAUCAGGUAAUGAAAAGUUCAAUACACACAGUCUUCAUGCUCACUUGAACACUUGGGACAAAUAGAGGAAAUACGUCAUAUAAGUGAUCAAGUGCAAAGACCGCAAGUGUGGGUAUUUGGACAAGGCAUUUCUUGUUUUGUUUUGUAGUCAGUUUGUAGUCCGUUUGUUCAUUGGUUCCCCUUGAUUAGUCUCCAGAGGUGUGUCUUGCUACCUUAAGCUUGUUAGCCCCUGUGGAUAUGGCCCCAGUGUUUGUGGUCCUACACACAGUGCUUGAAGUGGGCCGGUACAUCUAUAUUUUAGCCUUUAGAGUACCUGCACUUGUUUGUGCGUACCGGCCCUUCUGAUAUGUUGCCAGUACUCAGAGUAAAAGCAUCAGGGUCUGGGUGAUUAUAUGAUCCCAUAUAUCAGUGGUUCCCAAUCCUGGUCCUGGAGAACCCCCAACACUGCACAUUUUUGGUGUCUCUCUUAUCUGACACACACAUUUGAGGUCUUGGAGUCUUCACUAAUGAGCUGAUGAGUUGAAUCAGGUGUGUUUGAAUAGGGAGACGUCUAAAAUGUGCAGUGUUGGGGGUUCUCCAGGACCAGGAUUGGGAACCACUGCCAUGUAUGAUUAGGAAGGACACUAGAGGUUAUCCCGCCUGGGUAGUGUGAUUUAUAUAAUCUCGAC